GUCCUAAAAAAUACAUAAUCAUCUUAUUUAUAAACUAUCUGCUACAGUGUAACCAGGUAUUUGUAUGCCUAUAGUGUAACCACUAUAGUGUAACCAGGUAUUUGGAUGGCUACAGUGUAACCACAUUUGGAUGUCUACAGUGUAACCAGGUAUUUGGAUGCCUACAGUAUAACCAGAUAUUUGGAUGGCUACAGUGUAACCAGGUAUUUAGAUGCAUACAGUGUAACCAGGUAUUUGGAUGUCUAGUGUAACCAGGUAUUUAGAUGCCUUCAGUGUAACCAGGUAUUUGGAUGUCUACAGUGUAACCAGGCAUUUGUUUGCCUAUAGUGUAACCAGGUAUUUAAAUGGCUACAGUAUAAUCAAGUAUUUGGAUGCCUACAUCUACAGUGUAACCAUGUAUUUGGAUGCCUACAGUGUAACCAGGUAUUUGGAUGCCUAUAGUGUAUAGUGUAACCAGGUAUUUAGAUGCCUUCAGUGUAACCAGGUAUUUGGAUGUCUACAGUGUAACCACAUAUGGAUGUCUACAGUGUAACCAGGUAUUUGGUUGCCUAUAGUGUAACCAGGUAUUCAGAUGGCUACAGUAUAAUCAAGUAUUUGUAUGCCUACAUCUACAGUGUAACCCUGUAUUUGGAUGUCUACAGUGUAACCAGGUAUUUGGAUGUCUACAGUGUAACCAGGUAUUUGGAUGUCUACAGUGUAACCAGGUAUUUGGAUGUCUACAGUGUAACCAGGUAUUUGGAUGUCUACA